AUACCUUUCUCGGCCUUUUGGCUAAGAUCAAGUGUAGUAUCUGUUCUUAUCGGUUUAAUAUCGUCGUGGGCCAUUGGCUCACACGAUGUUAAAUUAAUUUUUCUGGGGAAAGCUCACCACGUAGCUUGCUCACAGGGCUUUCGUGAGUCGCCUAAGCGUUGCACUAUAGCUCAGGCCUGGCGCACCCCAC